CAUGACAUCACAGUGCCGCGAGAAUAGCCGUGCUUUUGAUCACUUUCGCGGUACUUUGAUGUCAUGCAGUACACCGAUUGUAAUCACCGCUUGUUGAUUACUGAGGAUUCGUCUGGAAACAGGGCAUCACAGAUCAAGCAAUAAUUGAUGGACACCCUGCAGUACUACUGUGGACCCUUGUUGAGGACGCCUGAUUUGCUGUUGCCAAGGAAAGCAAAAGAGACACCCCCUGUCAGUCAUUUAAAAGGAGCAUCGGAGCGGAUAUGGCCUUGAGGUGGCUGGGUUUGGGUGAAUUGGUGCCAGGUCGGUUCCCCUCACUCACCUUGUGCUAAGGCUCCCCAGUCAUGGAUCACAGCCCUGGAGAAGAAGCUAAUCUCUGUCCGGGAAACCACCCCAUUGUGUUUGUUACCUGGGAUCGUAACAAAAUGCUCCACCACUGAGCUGAGAUUCACAACAAAUACCUCCCUGACUGUUUGGGACUAUCUAGGCGACAUCUUAUCGCUGGUGACUCGACCUCUAAACACGUUGUCUCGAGGGGCUGUGGAGACAUGAUGAAUCACGAGGCAUGACAGGAUGUGCAAGAUUUGUUUGAAGUUUUAUCGUCCCACCGUACAACCAAUGUCUCUCCUAAUGGCCAACAAAUGAUCCCACCCACCUGUAAAUGUGAUAAUGAAGAAGCACAAUAAUACUUAAGCUAUUAUGAUAAUGGUUAUCUGCAAACGGUGGAGGGGUGUUAAAUUGUGGGUUUUAAGUUGAAAAUGUGGUUGGAGGGAGGCAGAGAAAGCCUUUCACACAGUGAUGUCAUGUGUCUGUUAAAAUGUUUUUCUUUUAAAAGUCUUAAAUCUCAAU